rnacentral:lncRNA from 1 species
AAACUCUAUCUUAUUAUUAUGGAGUAUGGAUAAUUAGGCUAAAUAAUGAAUUACUUGAUCAUUCCAAAUAAACCCUCAAGGAUCUGAUGUUGAAGAGUUUUUCAAAAUGUAAGUUAAUGAACUUUAUGUCAAUGUUGUUUGUUAGUUUUAAGUGAUACUGAUUUCAUCAUGUAAAACUAUUGUAGACUACCUGAUAAUGAUUUGGCCCUAACAAGUUUAA